rnacentral:rRNA from 1 species
ACAAUGGGCGCAAGCCUGAUCCAGCCAUGCCGCGUGUGUGAAGAAGGCCUUCGGGUUGUAAAGCACUUUCAGUAGGGAGGAAGCGUUGAGUGUUAAUAGUACUCAGCGUUGACGUUACCUACAGAAGAAGCACCGGCUAACUCUGUGCCAGCAGCCGCGGUAAUACAGAGGGUGCAAGCGUUAAUCGGAAUUACUGGGCGUAAAGCGCACGUAGGCGGUUUUUUAAGUCAGAUGUGAAAGCCCCGGGCUCAACCUGGGAAUUGCAUUUGAAACUGGGAAACUAGAGUGUGUGAGAGGGGGGUAGAAUUCCAAGUGUAGCGGUGAAAUGCGUAGAGAUUUGGAGGAAUACCAGUGGCGAAGGCGGCCCCCUGGCACAACACUGACGCUCAGGUGCGAAAGCGUGGGGAGCAAACAGGAUUAGAUACCCUGGUAGUCCACGCCGUAAACGAUGUCUACUAGCUGUUCGUGACCUUGUGUCGUGAGUAGCGCAGCUAACGCAUUAAGUAGACCGCCUGGGGAGUUACGGUCGCAAGAUUAAAACUCAUAUGACAUUUGACGGGGGCCCGCACAAGCGGUGGAGCAUGUGGUUUAAUUUGACGCAACGCGAAGAACCUUACAUACUCUUGACAUCCAGAGAACGACUGCAGAGAUGCGGUUGUGCCUUCGGGAACUCUGAGACAGGUGCUGCAUGGCUGUCGUCAGCUCGUGUUGUGAAAUGUUGGGUUAAGUCCCGCACACGAGCGCAACCCUUAUCCUUAGUUGCCAGCGAUUCGGUCGGGAACUCUAGGGAGACUGCCGGUGAUAAACCGGAGGAAGGUGGGGACGACGUCAAGUCAUCAUGGCCCUUACGAGUAGGGCUACACACGUGCUACAAUGGUAUGUACAGAGGGAGGCAAGCUGGCGACAGUGAGCGGAUCUCUUAAAGCAUAUCGUAGUCCGGAUCGCAGUCUGCAACUCGACUGCGUGAAGUCGGAAUCGCUAGUAAUCGCAAAUCAGAAUGUUGCGGUGAAUACGUUCCCGGGCCUUGUACACACCGCCCGUCACACCAUGGGAGUGGGUUGCAAAAGAAGUAGGUAGCUUAACCUUCGGGAGGGCGCUUACCACUUUGU